rnacentral:ncRNA from 1 species
UAGGAGAAUUGGGUUAAUAUUCCUGAAUCGAGACAUCGUGGUGGACGACAAUGUUAGGAAAUAUGGAGAUGUCAUCGGGGGCCUGGGAAGAGUUAUCUUUUCUUUUUAACGACUUUCCCACCCCAAAAUCAGUUCAAAUGGAGAUAGGGUCCAAAAUCUAUAAGAGAACCACAUGUCUUGCAGUGUUUUGUGCCCCCUCGAUGGCCAUUGAAAAUAUGGAGAACCGAGUACCAUCCAUGCCCAAUCGUACUCAUAUCUGCCUCC